CGCCAGAGGGUGAGUCUGCGGCCUAUCAGGUAGUAGGUGGUGUAACGGACCACCUAGCCUAAGACGGGUACGGGCCUUGAGAGAGGGAGCCCGGAGAUGGGUUCUGAGACACGAACCCAGGCCCUACGGGGCGCAGCAGGCGCGAAACCUUCGCACUGCGCGAAAGCGCGACGAGGGGAGCCCGAGUGCCUCUCCAUUUCGGGGAGGCUUUUCACAAGCCUAAAAAGCUUGUGGAAUAAGGGCUGGGCAAGACGGGUGCCAGCCGCCGCGGUAAUACCCGCAGCUCGAGUGGUGGUCGCUUUUAUUGAGCCUAAAACGUUCGUAGUCGGCCUUGUAAAUCCCUGGGUAAAUCGGACCGCUUAACGGUUCGAAUUCCGGGGAGACUGCAAGGCUAGGGACCGGGCGAGGUCAGAGGUACUUUCGGGGUAGGAGUGAAAUCCUGUAAUCCCGAAGGGACCACCUGUGGCGAAAGCGUCUGACUUGAACGGCUCCGACGAUGAGGAACGAAGGCUAGGGGAGCAAACCGGAUUAGAUACCCGGGUAGUCCUAGCUGUAAACUCUGAACGCUUGGUGUGGCCUGUCCUUCGGGGGCAGGCUGUGCCGGAGCGAAGGUGUUAAGCGGGCUGCUUGGGGAGUACGGCCGCAAGGUUGAAACUUAAAGGAAUUGGCGGGGGAGCACCGCAACGGGAGGAUGCGUGCGGUUUAA
rnacentral:rRNA from 1 species